rnacentral:pre_miRNA from 1 species
UAAAAGUUCAUUUGGGUUUUUCUAUAACAUCUUGCAGAAAAACCGGAAUGAACUUUUUGG